rnacentral:rRNA from 1 species
CCGAAACCGGGCGAUCUAUCCAUGGCCAGAGUGAAGGUCAGGUAACACUGACUGGAGGCUCGAACCCAAGUAUGUUGAAAAAUGCUGGGAUGAGCUGUGGAUCGGAGUGAAAGGCUAAUCAAGCCCGGAGAUAGCUGGUUCUCCUCGAAAGCUAUUUAGGUAGCGCCUCACGUAUCACCGUCGGGGGUAGAGCACUGUUUCGGCUAGGGGGCCAUCCCGGCUUACCAACCCGAGGCAAACUCCGAAUACCGAUGAGUGCAGCGUGGGAGACACACAGCGGGUGCUAACGUCCGUUGUGAAAAGGGAAACAACCCAGACCGUCAGCUAAGGCCCCCAAAUUCUGGUUAAGUGGGAAACGAUGUGGGAAGGCUUAGACAGCUAGGAGGUUGGCUUAGAAGCAGCCAUCCUUUAAAGAAAGCGUAAUAGCUCACUAGUCGAGUCGGCCUGCGCGGAAGAUGUAACGGGGCUCAAACCAGAUGCCGAAGCUACGGACUCAUCCUCUGGAUGAGUGGUAGAGGAGCGUCGUGUAAGUCUGUGAAGGGGCGUUGAGAAGCGCGCUGGAGAUAUCACGAGUGCGAAUGCUGACAUGAGUAACGAUAAUGCGGGUGAAAACCCCGCACGCCGGAAGACCCAGGGUUUCUGUUCGACGUCAAUCGGAGCAGAGUGAGUCGGCCCCUAAGGCGAGGCCGAAAGGCGUAGUCGAUGGGAAACGGGUUAAUAUUCCCGUACCGGAUGUGAUUGCGAUGGGGGGACGAAGAAGGCUAGGUGAGCCAGGCGUUGGUUGUCCUGGUGAAAGCCGGUAGGCCGAGGGUUCAGGGAAAUCCGGAUCCUCAAGGCCGAGAGGCGAGACGAACAGACUACGGUCUGGAAGUCAUCGAUGCCACGCUUCCAGGAAAAGCCUCUAAGCUUCAGAUCACAUGCGACCGUACCCCAAACCGACACAGGUGGUCAGGGUGAGAAUCCCAAGGCGCUUGAGAGAACUCGGGUGAAGGAACUAGGCAAAAUGGCACCGUAACUUCGGGAGAAGGUGCGCCGGCAUAGGGUGACGGACUUCGCGUCCCGAGCUCGAGCCGGUCGAAGAUACCAGGUGGCUGCAACUGUUUAUUAAAAACACAGCACUCUGCUAACGCGUAAGCGGACGUAUAGGGUGUGACGCCUGCCCGGUGCCGGAAGGUUAAUUGAUGGCGUUAGCUCCGGCUAAGCGCUUGAUCGAAGCCCCGGUAAACGGCGGCCGUAACUAUAACGGUCCUAAGGUAGCGAAAUUCCUUGUCGGGUAAGUUCCGACCUGCACGAAUGGCGUAAUGAUGGCCACGCUGUCUCCACCCGAGACUCAGUGAAAUUGAAAUCGCC